rnacentral:rRNA from 1 species
CCCUUAGAUGUUCUGGGCCGCACGCGCGCUACACUUAUGCAUUCAACGAGUUUCUUCCUGGUCCGAGAGGAAUGGGUAACCUUUUGAAAGUGCAUCGUGAUAGGGAUAGACUAUUGCAAUUAUUGGUCUUCAACGAGGAAUUCCUAGUAGACGUAGUUCAUCAGACUGCAUCGAUUACGUCCCUGCCCUUUGUACACACCGCCCGUCGCUCCUACCGAUUGAAUGCUCAGGUGAGCCAUUCGGACUUUCAUCAUGCUGGUUUCCAGUUUUGAUGAAGGAAAGUCUUGCGAACCUUAUCAUUUAGAGGAAGGAGAAGUCGUAACA